GGUCAACCUGACUUUAGAGCCAACGGCCUCCACUUUGUACCUGAUUCUUUUGACAUAAUAUCUGUGAAUGCACUGGAAGAACUACUGCACAAAUAUGUCAAAUGUUCCAAAAUGUUUGGAGAAAGAAGAUUCUUAAACUCACUCUAGAAUUUUAUUUGAGGACUAAUGUGCUAUCUUCAAUGGCAAGACCUAUGUUAGAAAUUAAUUUAUGAUGAAAAAUAACCCAAAGAUGCACAUAAGUUGGCUGUGUCUCAGCAUCAUAAUUUCAACUUUUUGGAGUAACAAUAGAAUUGAUGUUAAAGACAAAUCAUGGUG